rnacentral:rRNA from 1 species
GUCUACGGCCAUGCCACCCUGAAUGUGCCCGAUCCCAUCUGAUCUCAGAAGGCAAGCAGGGUCGGGCCCGGUUAGUACUUGGAUGGGAGACCACCUAGAAAGACCAGGUGCUGUAGGCG